UGCUUGUCAGUCCUUUAGCCUGGAGCAAAGGAGGGGUUCGAUAUAAAGCUAUGGUCCGUCUCAUCUGCGUUUGGAUAUGCUCAGCCAUUUCACUGGCUUUCCCUUCUACAUGAGACUCAAAAAAGUUUUUUCUGGAACAUAUAUUCUGCCGCUGGACUUUAAGGAUUUUUACACAUGACAGACAGCAAAGGUUCCAAAGAACACUCCACUUUCCAAGCAUUCGGUUCUGCCAUAUUUACACGUAAAAGCUGACCAUGACCACUGUGAAUGCCCCCGUGUGUCUGCUCGCUCGGAAUGAGUUUUAUCGGAGCAUCUGUCCGACAGACAAAAUGAAGGCUGUCGAAAAUCUUUCUGAUAACUUAAUGGAACCAAAGCAAAGACAACUGACUGUCUGGGUGACCAAAUCCAAACACCAAGAUUUUUCCAAACCUUUGAGCAACGGCUGGACAAUCAAUGUGGUUUUAAGGAACCCGGCAUCUAGCGGAAACUCUUCCAAACGUCCUGCUGAUCGUGUGGUCAAGUAGACACCUGCAAAAAAGCUGCAGAGAGCUGAAAAAACUGUGCUUUGCUGUACACGCACAUUUGAAUAUGCUGCUUUAGUGAUACUAUUUGUUUAAAACUUGUUUAACUUAAGGCUAAAGAGUGUUUAAAGAUCUUCACUACUGACAAAAGUCUUGUUGCUUAUCCACGUUUAAGGAACAACAAAUAAUAACUUGACUUCCAGUUAAUCAUUUGGUAUCAGAAGUGGUUUAUAUGAAAGACAAAGGCCUCUAGAUUAUGCUUGUUUUACCAAAAUGAAAUAUGAUUAUGCCUUGAUUUUUAGUCAUUUAAUUAGGACAGUGAGGUCUGACUUUGCUUAGACAAAAGUCUUGUCGGUUAACAGAAAUACUGU